UACUUGCUCAUUAUGUAUGUAUGUCUGCCAAGCGCCAACACACACUUUCUCGGUCAAGUGCAGAAACCGAGAAGCACCAACACUUUUAUAUCUUGUUUUUUUUUUGGUAAGAUAUCUCUGUUUUAAAAAACAAAAACAAAUUAUAAAAUAAUAAUAAUAAUAAUAAUAAUAAUAAUAAUAAUAGCAACAUGCUCUACAACACACUCUAUUAGAAUAACUUUCUGCAUACACCAUAGAGCUUGAUUCCAACCUAUAACGAGAAGUACUUGAGUAACAGUUCAUCUUUCCCUUUCUUCAGACCCUCUCAUUCUUCUUCUUAUUCUUCUUGUUCUUCUUCUUCNNNNNNNNNNNNNNNNNNNNNNNNNNNNNNNNNNNNNNNNNNNNNNUUAGUCUCGCAAUUUGGCUUCUUGCGCUUACUGCAUGAAGCUAUAGCCUCUGAAUUUUUUUGAAAUGUCUUAAACAGUUCAUCCAAGAUUUUGCGACGGCGCAAGGCAUCUUCCUCCUGGUUAGGAGACAUUGAUACUAAAAAAUGAAAAUAUGUUUUGAAAGAAAGUAAAUUUGUGUGAAAAGCAAAGUUUGAAGAAAAACUUGCCGCAUCAUAGUCAGAGUCAAGGUAAUCAGUUUCCAUUACGCGUGAGAGGUCUUUCUCUGUCUCUGUGUAUUUUCUUUUUUUUGAACAGCCUUCCUCUGUGUAUUGUGUUUAUUUAUUUAUCAUCAAUCAAAUAAUAAAUGCAUACAUUAAACAAACAGCAAGAAAGAAGAACCAAUAAAUAAAAAGUGAUCGAUGAUUUGAGUUACCUAGUGAUUGCAUUUGCACUGGUGAUUUCACCGAGAGACCCAUCUUCUAGCCGGCAAGGUUAUUUCAACUAAUGAUGAUGAUGAUAAUUAGUAAUAUAGGAAUAUGUAUGUAUGUAUGUAUUCACGAAACCCUAAGUUAUUACAAAGGUUUUAAACCCUAAUAAUCACACAGAUUUAAUUUAAUGAUGAUGAUAAUUAGUAUUAUAGGAACAUCAACCAUAAGUUACUAAUCAACGAAAACCCUGGAAAAAAAAAGGAGAAAUAAUAGGUGUAAUCGAGGGGGUUUAAUUCAAUUUCACAUAAUCUCAAAGGUUUUAAACCCUAAUUCGAGAAGAUUCGACAAUAUGAAGUGGAAUGAAUUUAUCAAAA
rnacentral:lncRNA from 1 species